CUUUGUUCUAUGUUCACAGUUCCUUUAGGCAAGAAGCUACUAUUCUAAGCGCACCGUGGGACCAAAGACACUUCUUUAAUUAGUCUAAAAGAAGAAAAAAAAAUGCAGUAAUGGCUGAAUUAGUGAUCAGCAUUUCAUCAAAGAAGCAUGAAAGGUGCCCUGCGCCCACACCGGCCGCUUUGGUCUCCAUGUACGGGCAGCCUCGGCACUGCCCGAAAGACUGCGGAAGAAAGAGGAACUUUCUGUGAGACCUGCUGCUCCGCCACAAGCUGGGAGCCAUGAGGACCAUUCCGUGUUUGUGGAGAGGAGCACCCAAGUCCCCGGGCACCUCCUGGUCCAGCAGAUGGAUCCGCAAAGCGCCRGCAUGAGGAUGAUGCCUCACAGGUAAGAGGUUGCCCAAAGCCCUGUUGCAGGGAAAAGCUCUGGACACCUGAAGCACGAGUGUCAAGCAGCAAGAAAAUGCCUCUAAUAAAUAGUGGGGGAAAUAUGGUAUAUUGCUUUUA
rnacentral:lncRNA from 1 species